ACUGUUGUUUAGGAUAAGGCUAAAGAAGGUGCUGUGUACAGUAAGCAAGUGUGUUUAAAGAUAAAUAUUAAGUAAAUCACACAGAAAUGACAAAAAUCUGUGCGGAGGAUGGACUCAUAACUAAUUUUUAGAAAGCAGGAGCUCAACAAGAGAGAGAAAUGUGUAUCCACAUGUGCUCCUCAUGGGGAGAAGGGAGGGGAAUUACUGCUGGCUUUGAGGACAAGGAAGGCCCCAGAGAGGAAGUGGCAUGUGCCCUCAAGGAUGUCUAGGAGUUUUUGCAAACUUACAUCAAGUAGAGACCACCCCAUGAGGAGGAAAAGGUGCACCAAGACGCACAAGUGACUGACGUAGACAGGGCCCAAGGAGCAGAAAUGGGGUGAAUGCUGAACAGUAGGUCUGUAAUUGCAUGAUGGGGAGUUAAGAAGUGGAUUUUGUUCUUUUAGCCAUUGUAACCUCUGCAGAUAAGAUAUCAAAAAGAGCUUUCCUCCUAGCAGAGAUCUUCAUAGAGAGGGUGAGAUCAAUUCGUGGAUCAGGAGAUUGAUUUGCUGAAAUAUGGCUGGCAUUUAAAAUAAUGACAGACAGUACUUCAUCUCAGAGUGCAUCUUCUGGAUUAAGCACAAGCAGUGAAUGGUGAAACUUUGUUACCUAAGUGUGUGUUGAGUCAUGAUGUAAAGUGGGUCAGAAAAGUCUGAAACUAGUUGUUCCUGUGUGAUGAGACUUUCAGCCACUGCAGACCUUCACGAACAAUCUGUUUCUGGUCACCUCUCAAGACAGUGCAUACAGAGGUCACACGUAUAGGUUUUACUCUGACCUUUGCUUUGCCCAUCAAACCAUUUUCCAGUCUUUCAGGCUUCAGUGAAGAGGUGUCAACCAUUGACAGAGGAUGUGGGGUGUUUCCCAGUUGAGGGUGAGGCCAGUCUGAGUCGUGACCCUUUGCUGAUCAGGUUGACCAGUUGGGAGACUGCGCUAACCCGGGCCGCGUUACUUGUGAUGGGGCUGUGUGUGGCAGGGUGGUGCUGAGGCCCCAUGCUCCUCAUGGCCGUCUUGGAAUAGUGACAGCAUCUGAAGUUCCUGGCACGAAGGGCGUGUGGGAUGGUGCAGAAUCAAGGCUGUGCAGGAGGAUGUGGGAUGGUGCCACUUCAAAGUAAAAGGCAUGGCUUUGGCGACACACAUUUAAAUGAGCUGUGGGAAAAUAGGCACACAGCAGCUAUUUUUAAUUCAUGUUAAAACUUUCAGAGCCAGAGUUGCUCAUAGGUACUGGCUUCGGAUGUUGGAGAGGAAGGCUUUCUCAGCUGACCGCUAACUUCCUUGGUGACAGCAAGAAGGUGGGAAAGAGCCCAGGGAAAGUGGCAGGUAGCAGGGCCGGCCCGUUUUUCACUGUUUUAUCAUCACUCUCUCCAGACUCAGUUCAGCUUUGAGGUUUCCAGCCUUGUUCCUGUCCACACCACCCUCAGUCAGCUCCUUCAUGUAAUACUUCUCCUUCCCUUAAGGCCUGCUCUCAGGAAAAGAUCUAGAUGUCCCUUUCUUUGUAGACUGAUAGUAGCUUGAAUUCACCUUUACAGAAGUGUUUGUACUCUAGUGAGGCUGUUUCUCAACGCAAGGGGGGAGGCCUGAGCUGGACUCUGGCGUUAGUCUGCAGGUAUGGCCUCUUUCUGGGCAGGGGUCUUCCUGGCCCAGUGAAAGCAGAGUGUAUAGGCGGCUACCUUUCUGCGUCACUCUGACACACCCAGAUUCAGUUGGUGCUACUUAGAAUCAGGUUUUGUUUUAAUUUUUUGGCCACACCCAUGGCAUUUGGAAGUUCCCAGGCCAGGGAUUGAACCUGUGCCACAGUAGUGACAAUGCCAGAUCCUUAACCACCAGGCCACCAAGGAACUCAGCAUCAGGUUUUUAAAGCUGGGGAGAACCUGGUUAAGUUUUAUUCUCUUAGAGAUAAAGAAACUGAGACCCAAAGGGAUGAAAUCCUUCUCAAUGUGGCACUCGACUGCUGCAGCUGAUCAGCAUGCCAUGCAAGGUCAGCUUUGCCAUACUUAUUUGUUAAGGCUGGCAGAGGCAUUUCUCUUCUCUCUCUCUCUCUUUUAACAUUAGGAGGCCGUGGAAUCUACUCAAGCAGCUGGAAAAGCAGCAAAGUAUUCAUUUUAGACUCAUUUAGAGAAGCAAGCUGGGAAAUGCUUGGGCUGCUCCUUGCAACAAAUUUGGAUCCUCUUAAAAGCUUGUCUAAGCUUUAGCAUAUCCCCGUAGUGGGAAGUCUUUAAUAUUCACUGACGCAAGGAGGAGGUUUUGACCCUUCAAAUGUCACCGUACUUUUAACCGUAUAACGUAUAACCAAAUAACAAAGUAAAAAUACCUCCAAGUAAAGGGGAAUUAUUUGAGGUUCAAGUUUAGGGGACCAGCUGCUUUGGUGAAAUAAUCCACUCUGCGUUUUAGACUCUCUGGAAAAGAGACAUGAGGGAUGGGGGCAUUAGAGGUCUGCAAGUCCGAGCCCUACAGUCCACUGCUCUGCCUGGGUUCUCUUGGGAGAUGACUCAGGAGCUGGUCAGGGACCUUGGGCAGAGAACUGGUGAGAGGCACAGAUCACCUGUGCUGGGGUGUCAGCCCUUACUAGCUGAGGGAAGACAGGCAAGUUAAUUGACCUCCCUGUGCCUCAGUCUCCUGAUCUGUAAAAUGGGGACCGUAAUAGUAUCUCCUUCCCAGAGUUGUUAUGAAGAUGAAUGGAAAUGCACAUUAAAGCACCCAGCAGCUGACAUAUAACAAGCUCAAAUAAAGGUUAGAUGUCAGUGGCAGUGCUGUCUAAGGCUGCAUUAAUUAGUUUAAAAUUGAAGCCACUUUCGAAUCUUACUGCUCCUAAGAUAGCUAAAAGGCAGUCUUUUUUUAGGCUUCAGUUUAUUAUGAGCUUGAAAGUUCCUGGCAGAAUCACCCAGGCCUUUUUUUUUUUUUUUUUUUUUUUUUUGACUCUUCUUCCCAUGGUUAUGUGAUGAUCUUGUUACACACAAGAAAAAGAUUGCUUUCACAAUCUAGAUUCACCGGAGAACUCCCUAUAGCCUCCCCCUUUCCUCUUCAUCAGGAGGAUCCACCAUGAGAGUCCCUAUAUCUCAACCCGGAGAACUCCUCAAUCCUCUGGAGUUGCUCUUUUCGAAUCUUCAAACCCAGGAUCUUAGCUGUCUAUUUUCUGAAGCUGUAGAGACAGCCACUCAAGGAACAGAUUUUCUAGAGGAUACUUUAUUCAAUUAGUUAGUCAAUUCCCUUGUAGAUGGGAAAUUAUCCCUAAACCAUCCCCACCAACCGAGGAGCCUCUACAGUGAGAAGCAAAGAUGAUGUUGAGAUGUAACAAUAGGAUACCUCAUUUGCAAUGCAAAUGAGCAACCAGCAGGCAAAUAAACCCUUAUGGGAAAACCACUCUAAUCAUAAAAACCCCUUGCUUUGGGGAGACUGCAGUGUAAGGACAAACAGAAUCAUAUCUUCCAGGCUCUUCUCCAAUACAGGAUAUUAAAGAAUUAUCCAGGUAGUUCUCUAUGAAAUUGCAUUUGAAUAUGGCAAAAUGCAUUGCUGGACAAUAGAUAAUAUCUUUAAAACUCCAUAAUUGUGGACUGAAUUAUUUAUGGUUGUCACUAUAGCUAUCAUAGUUUGGAAAUAAAAUCGUCAGGCUUUUCUCUGUUUUUAUUUGUAGGAAAACAAGUCAUUCAAGCUUUUUAGUGAUACAAUGUGACUGGCUGUCGAUGGCAGUUACAAUUUUUCAAGCCCUGCCAAGCACAGGAGUACCCAGAAGGGACAUAUGUUUUCUGUGCUUUGUGUUCCAAAUUCGCUUUAAAAACAUGCGAUUAUGUGAAGGCCUGAUUUAUAUUUCCAAGGAAAAGCACAAUAAUGGCUGUUUUGUAGCUGUGUUUCUCGAAAACGUGUUUCUAUUGCUGCCUUUUCAAAAGAAUUUGGCUAAUGAUCACUGGAUUUUCACUUUCCGUCAUGACGUAUUAAAAUUUGAUGAGGUCUGUGAAAUUUAAGAACUGAUUUCUUAAGUGCAGUGGAAAUGUAGUUAACAUCGUUUGGUACUGCAACCCUGGAAACAUCUUCUGUGGCUACCUUUAAUCCACUUCCUUAUUUUUGUGGACAAUGGGAGAAGAAGAAGCAGGGGUAUUUGUAGCCAGGAGGCAAAGAGGGGAUAGAAUGACCAGGAUAACAAAGAGCAAACCUUGGAAGGUACGUAGGCCUAUAGGUAUGCAUGAGUGUAAGUAGAAGACAAGGUGUUGCGGACAUUUCCAGGGGACAGAGGGAUGACUCUGGAGAGGAAAGGAAAUUGUGAAGGAGGAAAGUGAGGAGUUUUGGUCACAUUUUAUGCUCAACUGAAAAUUGCUGUAAAGCCCUUUAUAAAUUGUAUAAUCACUGGCUUUGAAUUCAUGCCCUUCGUUGCUAUUAUUAAUGAUGGCUUUCACUCCACUCUCUCAGAAGCAUUUCUAGUAAAUUUAUGAAAAGAAGAUGAAUUAGUCUCUUUCUGGACUGGGGAGCCCCUCCUGGGAGGUCAACAAUUUUUUUACUUGUUCUUUUUUAGUAAUGGAGGUGGAGAAAGGUGAAAGGCCAAUUUCACCUAAUAAAGGAGUUCAUGAACAAAUAAUGAUCAUAGUAUGGAAUUUCAGGGUAUUUCAAAGCUAAGAGAAAAAUAUUAGGGGGCAGCGAAAAGAUAGAAGUUGGAGUUCCUACCAUGACACAGUAGGUUAAGAAUCCAAGUUCAAGAGUUCCUGUUGUGGCGCAGUAGAAACCAACCCAACUAGUAAAACCAUGAGGAUGCAGGUUCAAUCCCUGGCCUUGCUCAGUGGGUUAAGGAUCUGGUGUUGCCAUGAGCUGGGGUUGUAGGUCGAAGACUCAGCUCGAUUUCUGCAUUAAUGUGGCUGUGGUGUAGGGCAGCAGCUGUGGCUGCAAUUCGACCCCUAGCCUGGGAACCUCCAUGAGCCUUGGGUGCUGCCCUAUAAAGGGAAAGAAAAAAAAAAAAA
ensembl:lncRNA